rnacentral:rRNA from 1 species
UACGUAGGGCGCAAGCGUUAUCCGGAAUUAUUGGGCGUAAAGAGCUCGUAGGCGGUUUGUCGCGUCUGCCGUGAAAGUCCGGGGCUCAACUCCGGAUCUGCGGUGGGUACGGGCAGACUAGGGUGAUGUAGGGGGAGACUGGAAUUCCUGGUGUAGCGGUGAAAUGCGCAGAUAUCAGGAGGAACACCGAUGGCGAAGGCAGGUCUCUGGGCAUUAACUGACGCUGAGGAGCGAAAGCGUGGGGAGCGAACAGG